CACGUAGGGGACGAGCGUUGUCCGGAUUCAUUGGGCGUAAAGCGCGCGUAGGCGGCUCGGAAAGUCGGUCGUGAAAUGCCGGGGCUCAACCCCGGGACUGCGUCCGAUACUUCCGGGCUGGAGGUAGGUAGGGGAGAUCGGAAUUCCUGGUGUAGCGGUGAAAUGCGCAGAUAUCAGGAGGAACACCGGUGGCGAAGGCGGCAUCCUGGACCGAGAUUGACGCUGAGGCGCGAAAGCCAGGGGAGCAAACGGG
rnacentral:rRNA from 1 species